CUCGAUGUCGGAAUCUUUGAUGUUGAUGUCCCCGCGCAUGUCGCCUCGCGCAUCUUGGCCGUGUCUCGUUUCCAGUGCCCUAAACAAGUGUAAUUUGACAAAUUUACAUGUAAACAUUAAGGAGUGAGAAAGUUAAAACGAUACCAAUCGAGUUUUAGAGCUUUGGUGACCAUUUUAAAAGAAUAUAUGAUAAAUUCAAAGGUAAGUCUAUCGUAUUGCAUUGUCUUAAAUGAAUUCUCAGCUAAAAUACGGCAAUAAAUGGAUCAUAAACUUAGCUAAAUUUACUGUUGACAACGAGGUUGACAGAUCCAUUGCUUUUUUGCCUUGAAUAGCUUUACCAUAGUCAUUUUACCUUAAAAUGUAGCUACCGAGGAUAUCUCUAAGAGAUUUUACACAGAUUAUUUGCAAAAUCUCACGAUUUAAUCAUGCUGAUAACAUGAAAAUCCUUGUGCCAUUCUAUACAUAAUUUCUACAUAAUCUCUACAUCAAUAGUUCACUAAUAUAAAUUCAAUAUAUUUUUGAACCAGUCCAUAUAUUAUUAUACACAAUGUAGUAUAGUUAAUUUGACCAUAUUUGAGAAGUAAGGGUGUAUUUCAUUACACAGACACUGCUGAAUUUUAGGUUACAUGCCAUUGGAUUGAUAUAUAAAAAACACUUGUAAAACACACACAUUAUCUUGUUGAUAGAAUAGUUAUUUGCAGUAUACUAACUGUUGGCAUACUCUAUUUCAGGGCUAUCAAUUGUUUUUGUCACUGGCAGUCUUUGAAAUACAAUCUUGCUCUGUGGCCUUUACUGACAAGUUGGCUUUUACUACAUAUGUGGCACUGACACUUCUUUAAUUAAUGCACCAGUCAGUGUAAACCCCCCAACCAGGGAGGGGCAGGGAUUUUGACUUGGAGGGGUAGUAAAAAAGCGAAAUUGUCCCCGCCCCCAGGGACGUCAAUGUCCCCUGCAUGUCUCUUAACCCCAGGAAAAUAGUUUUGUAUAAUCAUAGAAUAGAAUAGAAUAGAAAAGAUCAGCAAUAGAAAAUCAAAUUCAUUUAUGUUGUUGUAUUUAAACUUUUCUUGUCAAGAAAACUAAAACAGCAACACAGGAUAUAUAUGUUAACCACUGUCCAAGUCUCCCAUCAUCGGGACAAAUUUAUAAUCAAAACUGACCACUUUCCCUGUUAAACCUUCCGCCCCUCCCCGGUUGGGGGCAGGGAUUUACAUUGACUGGUGCAUAACUAGAUGAUUGCAUGAAGCAUUGCAUGGAAGUUGAUUUAUAAUUAGUUUAUGAAUAAACUCACACUUUCAUUAUAAUGGUUGAUCAAAUAUAUCAUAUGCAUUUGAUUGGUUGAUGGUCCCUUAAUGGUAAUGGUGGUCAAAUCUGAACCUAUAUAAUGUCAAUAUGAUUUGAACCUAUAUAAUGUCAAUAUACUGGAAAAGUAUCAAAUUAAAUUUUAAUUGUCAAUGUUGUGGAAAGUAAAUAAAUCAAACAAUUCU